AGCCCGGUGGGCGCGCGAGGCUAGACUGCGGACGCACGCGGCCGGUGAGGACGCGAGUGGAGAGUGCUUCUCGGUCAGCGGGUGUGCUCUGGGCCGGGGCCGCGUUGGCAUGACUUCAGGGUCGCGUGGACGGCGCCUGGGUUUGAGGAGCAUCGUCCUGCUGAGGGCCUGCAGUGGCAUCCAACCUGGUAAAAUGCCCAGGUGUAUGCAGCACCCUGGACACUGUAUCAGUCACUGCCAUCCCCAGACUCCAAGCCAUGCAGGAGCUGACGAAAAGAGCCCGGACCCGGAAACCUGCACCCGAAGUCCCUCUAAGGGAUAGAAAGUUCGAGUGGGGGUCCCACCAGCUGGAGGAAAGCUGUGGGGUGUAUUCACUGAACUGGUGAUCACCUGCCACGUGGAAGAGAGGACCCAGCCUGCAGGGAAGGGUGGGCAUGGAGCACCCGCCUUUCCUGGGAAAGCAGGUGGCACCCUGAGUCAACGGGAGGACCAGGCCAUCCCUCUUGGCUCUGCUACUGUCGCCCCUCCCGGCCUGGAGGAAAUCCUACUUCACCGGCAUGGAGCUGCCACGGGUGUCCUGCUCUGAGUCCAGCUUGAAGCCCAGCACCAGGGAGGACAUCAAGCGGGUGUGGAGGCCAGUGGGGGCCUUAAGCGGGUGUGGUUUCUAAUGCACCGAUGGAGCCUAACAAUGCUUGAGAAAUGCUGA